CGACAGCAACUUAAAUAUUCAGUAAUAACAGUUUUUAAUUAUCUCCAUGUUUUAAUUCUUGGGUUUUUAUAGAGCAGUCAAAAGGGGCCUGUAGCGGGGAUGCCAAAUGCCACCAUAAAAGCUGUCGUUAUUCAUGGUAAAAAUGGCGUCCAAGAGCCGAAAGCAUCUGUCAACCAUAUUUGAGUAAAACUUGUUCAAAAAGCUAUAAAAUGAUAGUUUUGCAUAGUUCUCCAAGUGGAAAGUGCCCCUUUUUACAGAAUUUGGCGAAAGCAGUGAAUUAGGGAAAAGCUCCGGAUAUUUUUGAAGAACUGAUAGGCCAGCUACAUUUGUUCAAUGUAUAUCAAAAGGCCAAGUUCUACUUUCGAAAUUUGCACUUUUUCAACAA